rnacentral:rRNA from 1 species
GGAAUAUUGGGCAAUGGGCGCAAGCCUGACCCAGCGACGCCGCGUGAGGGAUGAAGGCCUUCGGGUUGUAAACCUCUUUCAGUAGGGAAGAAGCGAAAGUGACGGUACCUAAAGAAGAAGCACCGGCUAACUAUGUGCCAGCAGCCGCGGUAAUACAUAGGGUGCAAGCGUUGUCCGGAAUUAUUGGGCGUAAAGAGCUCGUAGGUCGUUUGCCGCGUCGAUUGUGAAAAUCUGAGGCUCAACCUCAGACCUGCAGUCGAUACGGGCAAACUAGAGUGUGGUAGGGGAGACUGGAAUUCCUGGUGUAGCGGUGGAAUGCGCAGAUAUCAGGAGGAACACCAAUGGCGAAGGCAGGUCUCUGGGCCAUAACUGACACUGAGGAGCGAAAGCGCGGGGAGCGAACAGGAUUAGAUACCCUGGUAGUCCGCGCCGUAAACGAUGGGCACUAGCUGUGAGAGCCUUCCACGGUUCUCGUGACGCAGCAAACGCAUUAAGUGCCCCGCCUGGGGAGUACGAUCGCAAGAUUAAAACUCAAAGGAAUUGACGG